rnacentral:snoRNA from 1 species
CCCCUCUCAGGGUCGCCCCUGGAGAGUUUCCAGUACUCUACCAGUCACGACUACAGGAGGGAGAGUCAAGCAGAGGCCUAUUCAUUACUUUCCUAGCUUAGGCAGUGGCUAGUGAGUGGAAGGCAAUCUGCUACAUGU